UACGGGGGGAGCAAGCGUUGUUCGGAUUUACUGGGCGUAAAGGGCGCGUAGGCGGCCAGCACAAGUCAGUUGUGAAAUCUCCGAGCUUAACUCGGAAAGGUCAACUGAUACUGUGCGGCUAGAGUGCGGAAGGGGCAACUGGAAUUCUUGGUGUAGCGGUGAAAUGCGCAGAUAUCAGGAGGAACACCAAUUGCGAAGGCAGCUCGCUGGGACGUUACUGACGCUGAGACGCGAAAGCGUGGGGAGCAAACAGG
rnacentral:rRNA from 1 species